rnacentral:miRNA from 1 species
UUCCAUUUCAACGUCGGGUUAGAA